GCAGUCGAGCGGUAGAGAGAAGCUUGCUUCUCUUGAGAGCGGCGGACGGGUGAGUAAUGCCUAGGAAUCUGCCUGGUAGUGGGGGAUAACGUUCGGAAACGGACGCUAAUACCGCAUACGUCCUACGGGAGAAAGCAGGGGACCUUCGGGCCUUGCGCUAUCAGAUGAGCCUAGGUCGGAUUAGCUAGUUGGUGGGGUAAUGGCUCACCAAGGCGACGAUCCGUAACUGGUCUGAGAGGAUGAUCAGUCACACUGGAACUGAGACACGGUCCAGACUCCUACGGGAGGCAGCAGUGGGGAAUAUUGGACAAUGGGCGAAAGCCUGAUCCAGCCAUGCCGCGUGUGUGAAGAAGGUCUUCGGAUUGUAAAGCACUUUAAGUUGGGAGGAAGGGUUGUAGAUUAAUACUCUGCAAUUUUGACGUUACCGACAGAAUAAGCACCGGCUAACUCUGUGCCAGCAGCCGCGGUAAUACAGAGGGUGCAAGCGUUAAUCGGAAUUACUGGGCGUAAAGCGCGCGUAGGUGGUUUGUUAAGUUGGAUGUGAAAUCCCCGGGCUCAACCUGGGAACUGCAUUCAAAACUGACUGACUAGAGUAUGGUAGAGGGUGGUGGAAUUUCCUGUGUAGCGGUGAAAUGCGUAGAUAUAGGAAGGAACACCAGUGGCGAAGGCGACCACCUGGACUAAUACUGACACUGAGGUGCGAAAGCGUGGGGAGCAAACAGGAUUAGAUACCCUGGUAGUCCACGCCGUAAACGAUGUCAACUAGCCCGUUGGAAGCCUUGAGCUUUUAAUGGGCGCAGCUAACCGCAUUAAGUUGACCCGCCUGGGGGAAGUACGGGCCGCAAGGGUUAAAAACUUCAAAUGAAUUUGACGGGGGGCCCCGCACAAAACCGGAGGAACCAUGGGGUUUUAAUUUCAAAACCAACCGCAAAAAAACCUUUACCAGGGCCCUGGAACUUCCAAUAGAACUUUCCCAGAAA
rnacentral:rRNA from 1 species